GCAGCAACUGGGGGCUCACCUGCGCCUCUGGGGAUGGCUUUCGGACUUUUCUGGUGCCUGCGUGGGAGCGAGUGUCUCUCUGUGGCUGAGUGCAGUCCAAGACUUGCUUUCAUUGUUCUUUGUCAUUUUUAGAUGGUGGAAGAUUUCUCUGAGGAGUGAAUAUCGAUCUACAAAACCUGGAGAAGCAAAAGAAAGUCAUGAAGACUUCCUAGAGAAUUCACACCUUCAAGGUCGGUUAUUUCAGCCUGUACCUCCGCCUUGAAUUUGGGACUUUGGACCUGGGUUCCUCAUUCCCAGCCACCAGUUCUUAGUCUGCUCCUUUCCUCCUGCUGUCCUCCCUCAUCAGCUGCUCCUCACCUUCAACCUGGAUCUCUAGUUUCUGCGGACCUGGGACUGAGUUCCACAAGGAAGUGCAGAUUGCGUUAAUAUUUGGCGCAAGAGUAUUAGACUAUGUCUUCAAUUUGUGUGAAGGCAGAUUUGACUUCCUUGAACGGCUCUCAGACGCUUUGCUCCUGAGCAUCAUUUCUUAUCUGGAUCUGGAGGACGUCGCCAGACUUUCUCAGACGUCGCGCAGAUUUGCAAAGCUGUGCACGUCGGACACUCUGUGGGAGCAGAUAGUCCAGUCGGCCUGUGACACCAUCACUCCCGACAUGAGGGCCCUGGCGCAGGACAUGGGCUGGAGACAGAUGUUCUUCACCAAUAAGCUCCAGCUGCAGCGGCAGCUUCGCAAGAGGAAACAAAAACAGGGAAGCCAGAACGACCUGUAGGACACGUGGCUGCGGCUCUCCUCAGCGUCCCGACCUCUCUUAAGAAUGAAGAGGUCUUGCUGAUUCAAGGAGCCAUUCGAAAAGCAUCGAGGAUUUGCACACAAAGGCAGCAGAAUGCGGCUCCCCAGUGCCUUGUUCGAACCACCAUUCCCGUCACGCUGAGGGUCAAAUGGUGGCCCACGUACAAAGGCUGCAAGGCAGGAAGCCCCAGCUCGAUGCCUUCGCCACUCCAGCCUGCACAGGGAAAGGGCCUCUGCUGUAUACACACAAUAAAUCCUUAUUAGCGGUUUUAUCUAGGUGUUCUAAAGAGUCACAGAGCUUUUGACUUUUGUUUUUUAGAAUUACUUAUUUCAUUUUACUUAUUAUUUUUAUACUUG